ensembl:lncRNA
GGUCUGCCGGGAGUUGUAGUUCCAAGCCGUAGAACUUUUGACUGGUCCCCUUCCUUUCCUUUCACUGACGCCCAGCCUACCACAGACUCUGAAACCGCUGCAGAUUGAGUAUUGGUCACUUCGAGGAAACGGUGAGACACAUUGAGCUGUGUGUUUGCUAUUUCCCAUUCUUCAGCAGCUGCAACACUGUUCUUCCUCGUAUCAGCAAUGUUAAUAUAAACGUCAAAUUGGCAUAUAAGUGGUGAGAUGGCCUGGACUUGUAGCCCAUAUACCUUUAAUCUCAGCACCAGGGAGGCAGGCAAACAGAUCACUGAGUUCCAAGUUGGCUUGGUCUAUAUAAUGUGUUCCAGGCCAGCCAGGGCUACAUAGUGAGAAGCAGUCUCAAGUAACAACAAAAAUGAAGUGAAGGAAUUCUGUAUCUGCCCUUCAGGUUGCAUUCAGUGUGAGUCAGGAAACAGUCAGGAGAUGAAAACAGAGGCAUAGAUUGUGCAAAAUUGGGGGACAAUGAGUACAGAGUUGCCUGGAGGUUCUCAAAAAUCUGUGUGGAGAAGCAGCGUUUGCUGUGGGGGACCCUCUGCUGAGAUUUGAAUUGUGCCACCUUUUAUCGUCAGAAAAGAAGGUGUCCUCCCAAAGCCCCCACAUGAGCUCUGCCUGAGAGGAAUGAGGGCUGAUUACUUAGUCCGCCAGCAUGGGCACAAAAUGCUCCCUUCUCCCUGGUGGUCACCUGCUGAAACCGCUCUGUGCAGAGACACUGGCUUUCUGGAAACAUCUGUGGAACGCUCUGUGAAAAUGUGUUUCAAGUACAUGGCACAUUCCUUUGAACCUCUUCUGCACUGGAACAUCUUGUUCCUUAACAGAUCUGAUAUUUAGGAACAGCCAGAAAUCAUUUGGAUGCACGUUUGGAAGACAAGGAAAACUAUCACGCUACAGAAUCACAGCUGGUGAAAUCUGGAUGGUGUUUUUUGGGUGUGAAAGGGAGGGGUUUUCACCUUGAAGCACGGAGAUUUUUUUUGAGCAUUACUCUUUUGGGGGGGUCAUGUUUUUAGCUGAUGUUACAGCCUCCCAAAUGAUUCUGUGACACAGAAAAAAAUCAGUGAUCACAAGGUCCUUUCCCCGUGGAGUGUGGAGAAAAGUCAUGGGUCAGAGCAGAGUGCAGGUUGCAGCUUCACCUGUAAUUUGAUGUGUGGUCACAGUGGUUUCCAGAGGUCCCAAAACUUCCAUGUCCUCACAUGCAAACUGGGUGAGUUGUGUCUUCAAUACUGAGUUCUUCCGUGUUUUAGUUAGGGUUUCUAUUGCUUCGACGAAACACCGUGACCAAAAGCCAGUUGGGAAGGAAAGGAUUUAUUUGGCUUACACUUUCAGAUUGUAGUCCAUCAUUGAAGGAAGUGUGUAGUGGCAUCUUGCUUUGCCAAUGAACUUGGGUGGUGGCCACAUCCUAUGGGCGUGCCCUCAGGUGUGCAGAUGUGACCCCUUAUUAGGAAGAAGAGGAUCUGGCUCCCUCUCUUGGGUCUUGUUGAGCGCAUCAAAAGUGCAGAGACUGCAGCUUCUGGAGCAGGAAGACGGUGGCAGACAGGAACUCCAGCAGAGCAGGAACCUGGAGGCAGGAGAUGAUGGAGAAGCCAUGGAAGAGUCUGCUUACUGGCUUGCACCCCAUGACUUGCUCAGUCUGCUUUCUUAUAGAACCAAGACCACAAGCUCAGGACUGACCCCACCCACAAUGGGCUGGGCCCUCCCUCAUUAACCACUAAUUAAUAAA